rnacentral:lncRNA from 10 species
GGCAGGCUGGAAACGGUAGCUCUUAACUGUUCCCCGCCCGUUGAUGACGAGGCGGCUGGACUAGAAUCCCAGCAGGAAACAUGAGAGGAGGCGGGCAGCCCAAGAGGGUUGGGCAGGGCAGUGUGGACCUCGCCGCUUCCACAGCGAUGCUGGCUACUGAUCGCGGGCACCUCCUUGCCAUGGGAUGUGAGUCCGGAGAGGGACAGGAGGGGCAGGUCCAGGCUGGGCAGUGAGGAGGGCGUGACGCCGCGAAGUGCUCCUCGCCCUUGUCCAACUCGGAUGGGUGUUGUCCUCACCCCACUUCCCGCUGCUAGGCUGGGUUCCCUCUUCCACCUGCACCCGGGGUCUUUCCUGGACAUCACGCCUCCUCCAGCUCAGGGACCCACCUGCUUUCCUAAGCUGCUGUGGGAACUGGCCUGAGGUCCAGGCGCUGUCCAUUGUGCCGCUGCCCUCUUUUCUCUCCAGCCAGAGCGCAGUGCAGCCGCUAUGGGGAGAAAUCCGCCGCCUGGCCCGCCAGUGCACAAGUUCAGAGCUUUGCAGGGGGUAACAUGGACUGUGGUUUCGUGAAAAUGUCACCCUCACCAGCGCCUUUUUCUUGGAUGUGGAUGUUGAGGCGGCAGAGAGGUUCAUUAUUGGUUUACCCAGGAGAUGCUAAGAGUAGAGGAGAAAAUCUCACAUCCCAGGCGUGUGUCUCUGGUGCGCCAUUUUCCACCAACCCAUUUGGUGGAAAGUCGCCUAAAUAGCUACCCAAAGAUGAAGAUAGUUUAGGCAUUUUACACGUGACAUCAUUGGCCUCAUCUCAACUGAGGCCUGACUGGCCAGUGUCUCAAAGGCACAGAUGGCAACCUGAUCCUCAGAAACCGGUGGUGCUCCAGCUUUGUGGGAGCGACUUUCAAGAAAAAUGUUGCUAACCCCCCGACCCCCCCAGCCACCAGAAUUUCGAUUAAAAGAGACUAAAGUGAUGUGACAAUGAAAUGCAAUGUGUGAGCCUGUCUCAAAUUGGAUCCUAGACCAGAAAAAGGACAUUUGAGGGGAAACUGGCAACGUUUGAAAGGGACCUGCAGAUUAGACGAUAAAGUGCCUCAAGGUCAGUUUCUUGAUUUCACUCAUUUUACUGUGGUUCUGUGAGCUGUUAGCCUUUGGGAAAUCUG